UACGCAGGCGGCUUGGUAAGACAGGCGUGAAAUCCCCGGGCUCAACCUGGGAACUGCGCUUGUGACUGCCGGGCUAGAGUCUGUCAGAGGGGGGUGGAAUUCCACGUGUAGCAGUGAAAUGCGUAGAGAUGUGGAGGAACACCGAUGGCGAAGGCAGCCCCCUGGGAUAAGACUGACGCUCAUGUACGAAAGCGUGGGGAGCAAACAGGAUUAGAUACCCUGGUAGUCCACGCCCUAAACGAUGUCGACUAGUUGUCGGGGAUUAACUUCCUCGGUAACGCAGCUAACGCGUGAAGUCGACCGCCUGGGGAGUACGGUCGCAAGAUUAAA
rnacentral:rRNA from 1 species